GUGGCAGCCGCCGCGGUAAUACGGAGGGUGCAAGCGUUACUCGGAAUCACUGGGCGUAAAGGGUACGUAGGUGUUCUCAUAAGUUGGAUGUGAAAUCCUAUGGCUUAACCAUAGAAGUGCAUUCAAAACUGUAAGAAUAGAGUUUGGGAGGGGUAAGUGGAAUUAGUGGUGUAGGGGUAAAAUCCGUAGAUAUCACUAGGAAUACCAAAAGCGAAGGCGACUUACUGGGACAAUACUGACACUGAGGUACGAAAGCGUGGGGAGCAAACAGGAUUAGAUACCCUGGUAGUCCACGCCCUAAACGAUGAAUGCUAAUCGUUGUGAGGCUUUGACCUUGCAGUGAUGCAGUUAACACAUUAAGCAUUCCGCCUGGGGAGUACGGUCGCAAGAUUAAAACUUAAAGGAAUUGACGG
rnacentral:rRNA from 1 species